UUUUAUUUAUAUUUUAUAUACCACCAUCUUUUAGGAUUAAUAUAAAUAUUCUUUCCUUAAUAGAAACUUCUCAUAAGUUAGGUAAAGGUGUAGAC
rnacentral:rRNA from 1 species